rnacentral:rRNA from 1 species
AACGAACGCUGGCGGCAGGCUUAACACAUGCAAGUCGAGCGCCCCGCAAGGGGAGCGGCAGACGGGUGAGUAACGCGUGGGAAUCUACCCAUCCCUACGGAAUAGCUCCGGGAAACUGGAAUUGAUACCGUAUACGCCCUACGGGGGAAAGGUUUAUCGGGGAUGGAUGAGCCCGCGUUGGUUUAGCUAGUUGGUGGGGUAAAGGGCUACCAAGGCGACGAUCCAUAGCUGGUCUGAGAGGAUGAUCAGCCACAUUGGGACUGAGACACGGCCCAAGCUCAUACGGUAGGCAGCGGUGGGGAGUAUUGGACAAGGGGCGCAAGCCUGAUCCAGCCAUGCCGCGUGAGUUAUGAAGGCCUUAGGGUUGUAAAGCUCUUUCACCGGAGAAGAUAAUGACGGUAUCCGGGGAAGAAGCCCCGGCUAACUUCGUGCCAGCCGCCGCGGUAACAC